rnacentral:tRNA from 3 species
GUUUUUAUAGUUUAAACCAACCCAAAACAUUGGUCUUGUAAACCAAUAAUGAAUUAUUUUCUAAAAACU